GGGAGCUUAGCUCAGUCGGUAGAGCAACUGGCUGUUAACCAGUUUGUCGGGGGUUCGAGUCCCUCAUCUCCCG
rnacentral:tRNA from 2 species